ensembl:lncRNA
GACUGCGGUGCGUGGACCUGCUGGGUGAUGCCGAGAGCACUGCCAGGGCAUGGGGCAUCCAACGCCGAGCAGAGAACAGCACCAGGAGAGCUGCCCUCAGGUGGUUGGUGGAGAACCUCCUGGGCAAGGGAUCCUGUGCUGGAUUCCCUGUGGCAAAGGUCUCCCAACCCUCCCGUACCCCCGGCUGGGUGACAGGUGGGACAAGAGGGUGGCUCCUCACUGCUCUGUGAAUAAGGCCCUUCACUUCCAUCGCUUUGUUCUCAUGCGUAUGGGUGCAGCAGAAGGAAAGCAUUUUAUUUUCACUACCCGCAGCAGCUUAAUGGGUUCUGAACAGAACCUGAAGUGUGCAUGGAUUUAGCAGGGAAAAAAAAAGAAAAAAAGAAGAAUAAAAGAAAAAAAAAGAAAAAAGCAAGCUAUAUUUCUUCUUGGUUGGGACCCAAAUCUCUUUCUUCUCUUCUCCCACUACCACUUCUCCCAUUUGCUCCCACUGUAAGUUCGGAAGAGUGGUAAGUGAUGGGAGCGCCUUGUGUGUGCGGUGCUAAUGCUGGCUGCCGCACCGCGACCCCCCCGACCCCCCCGGAGCUCCCCAGCUCCCAGCACGGCUCCAGCCCGUCCUCCGCCGCCGUUUCUCCCGCUGUCACUGGAGGGAGCUGCCUCUCCUCCAUCCGGCCCCGAGCUGCGGAGCGCGCCGGGGGGUGGAAGCAGGCGGGGGGGGGGCGGUCACGGAAAGCCGUGGAUGCGGUCACGCGCGUGUGUGGCACGAGGGGAUGUGCUGACGAGCUGUGGCUGAAUCCGCACGAGAGCAACGUUUAUCUGAACGCUGCAGGACGGGGUACACGUUGGGCAUCGUCGGGACGGGACGCACCUCGAGCCAUGGGUGCAGGUUUGGGCCCCGCAGUCAGGGGGGCACGGAACCGUCUGAGAGCAUCCUGGGCAGGGCUGCGGAGAUGGGGGAGGGUCUGAGGGCCCUGGGUUUGUGGGGCCCGGAGCAGAGGGACCCCCAUGGUGGGUGCAGCUCCUCGCAGGGAAAAACAGAACCGUGCUCUGCCAGAAAAGCUGGCAGAGCCUGAAUGUUGCCCCCCGAUUUAUACCGUGUGCGCACACCCCACCUUCGUGCGACCAUUUCAGCAUCCGGAGCACGACGCGGCACUCCGCUGCUGCGCCCGGGGGCGAAACGAGCUUGGCGUUCAGCAAAUGGAACAUUAAAAAUGUAUUUCUGAACGCAAGGGGGAGCGGAUGGAUAGCACGGGGCGGCGAGCUGCGCUCCUUGAGCAAUUGUGCUCGGGGCUGCCAUUAACCCCGCGGUUCUCUCCAGGGGAGGACGGAGCAGGAGCGGGCAGGCCAGGUGUUUGCACAGCUGCUCCGAGGGAUUUCCCGAGCCCUGUUGGUUCUUGCCUCUCGCUCCUGGAAUGAGCCGUUCUGUGGGUUUGAUGUUUUUCUUGUUGUUUCGGUGUUGUUUUCGGCUUUGUGGUAGGAUACCUGUAGUCAGGUGAAGGCACGGCGCUGUUUUGUCUGGCCCCGGUGCCAGCCUGGAUGGGCUGUGUUUGGGAAGAUCCAGGCUCCUGCUGGAUCCCCAGAUCCCUUCACAUGUAACAGCUGCCUCGAAGCUGCAAUACCGAUGGAUAUUGCUAGAUGAACAUGUACAGAGCUGUUAUGGACUGGGGCAGCUCCUGGUCAGGUCUGCCUUUAUCUAUCCAUGCAGUUCAGCCCUCAGCUGUCUUGCUCCAGGCAUUGCUGAGUGCUUGCAUCCAGCUGCAAGGAACAUCUCUUUGAUGCAAAGCUUUGCCAUCAGGGAAUAAGGAAAAACCAGCUCAUGGUCACCGCUGCCCCAGGGCCUCAUUUCCAGUGGAAAAAUGUGGAUGCCUGUAAGCUUCAUGCAGACUGGAACCUACUGGUGGGGCUGGAACAGAGACUGAUAGCUCCUUACAGCUACUGGGAAUGUUCAGGCCAAGAAGACUUCGAG